UACAUUUAAGUAUAAGUUGUACUGAAAUUUUUGAUAUUUCGAGAAGCGGUUAAAUUCCGUUAAAUGUAA
rnacentral:tRNA from 1 species